UCAAGCAUUGUCGUGACGUAGAUUAGAAACACCGUGUGAAGCAGACAACUUUCACUUUUCCAUCAAAUUUCGCCGGGAACGAUACAAUGCAGGUAAGUAAAAUUGUUACAGAUGUUUGGUAGAAAUACUCAUCUAAAACCUAUAAAAACAUCAUCUUGUUGGGAAAUCAGAUUAUAAUUAUAUUAGAUAUAAAGUUGCAGGUCGCUAGGUUUCCUAUAUCGAAUCACUGCUUCUGGCGGUAGUGAUAUAUUUUGAGUGAAAGGGAUCUUGUCAAAAUUUAUUUUUCAAAUUCGAUUUCCGUAUAUUUAGUUGAAAUAAAAAAGAAACACAAGUGAAAACAUGCUAUCUCAAUCAUUUGCAUCAAUUCUCUUUCAACAUUACAUAAUUAUUUGGAUUUUCAGAUAUGCCUCCCAAAAAACUGAAAACUAAAACUGGUGGAAAUACACCUACUCAAAAAUCAGCAGCAAACAUUGCUAGGAAAUAUAAAGCAUGUGGAAAGAGAAUGUCCCCAAAGAGAAGAGAGAGAGUCCGAAGAGCAUUAUAUAAUGUAAGUACAAAUGAACAGUCAAUCAAGAAAGUGGUGUUGGAAUUCCUCUAUUCAUUUCUAUACCAACCGGUCACAUUGGACAAUAGCCUGCUGUGGAUGGUGAAAUCGCGCAUGUUGAGCAAUCCAGCAGUUUAGCUUCUACGAAAAUUAUCAUUGACAAAUGUGUUGUGAAAGGCUAUCAUGUGUUUAAAAUUCGUCCCCCAUAUACCCCUCCUCCAACUCGAUUAAUUGUUGACCGAGAAUAUUCAAACAUAAAAGACAGCAAUGCUUGUUUGGUGUGGCUUCCACCAUUGAAUAAUUUCCCCCCAAAUAUUCAUAAUGACAUUACAGAUGAAAAACGUCAGCUGAAAGUUAGUGACAUAGCUGGGCUACCUAUUGGACAUGUACCAAAAUGCCUAUCUGCACAUUUUCGUAACAUUUUGGAUAAUGGCGGCGAAAUAUUUGCCGAGGUGACAGGACAGCCAGUAGCAAGUUUUCCUCCAUGGCCCGAGCCAAAUGAGGAAGGGGGCGGUGUUGUGCUUCCCUGCAAAUACAUACUUGAAAAUGUGAAUGCUUCAACUUUAUUUGAUAAAUUGAAGACAAUUUUGUCUCAAUUAAAAGAGGGGGAUGCGAUGAAAUUGUAUACUUUAUAGAUGAUAAACAGCCUCUGAACUUGACUUAUAGAUAUGUCAGUUUUUUUGUACAAUGCAAGGUGAAGAUAACGAACAGUGGUCAAUCUCAUAACUCCUAUAAGCAAUAGGACGGAACAUAUAUCGAGCGACAAGUAUCCUCGGGGACAGACUGUCCACCAGCAGAGAUACAAACUCGAUGGUUAAAUGCAAGGUGAAGAUAACGAACAGUGAUCAAUUUCGUACAUAAAUUAUUUAGUACUUUAUUUCUCGAUAUUAUUCAGGGAGCUCACUAGUUUUGAGGACGGGGUUCUUUUAGAAUGAGAAAUUUAUUGAAUUAUUUGUUUAGAUUGAA